UAUCAAAAACAUCACCUCUAGCAUCACCAGUAUUAUCGCCUGUUUUCACAAAAACAUGGCGUUUUGAUUAUAAUUUAAGGUCUGGCCUGCCCAAUGAGGAGUUCAAUGGCCGCGGUAUAUUGACCGUGCAAAGGUAGCAUAAUCAUUAGCUUUUUAAUUGAAAGCUGGAAUGAAUGGUUGGACGAGAAAAAAGCUGUCUCGAUUUAAUUUUGUUAGAAUUUUAUUUUUAAGUAAAAAAGCUUAAAUUUUUUUAAAAGACGAGAAGACCCUAUAGAGUUUAAUAUGCUUAAGUUGCAAUUUUUUUGGAAAUUAUAUAUUUGCAUUGAUUAGUGUAUUUUGCUGGGGCGGUAAGAAAACUGAAGGAACUUUUCUUUAUUUUUUACAUUGAUAUAUGAAUAUAUGAUCCAAUAUGAUUGAUUAUAAGAUUAAAUUACCUUAGGGAUAACAGCGUAAUUUUUUUUGAGAGUUCUUAUCGAUAAAAAGGUUUGCGACCUCGAU
rnacentral:rRNA from 1 species